rnacentral:rRNA from 1 species
GAUGAACGCUGGCGGCGUGCCUAAUACAUGCAAGUCGAGCGAACAGAUGAGGAGCUUGCUCCUCUGACGUUAGCGGCGGACGGGUGAGUAACACGUGGAUAACCUACCUAUAAGACUGGGAUAACUUCGGGAAACCGGAGCUAAUACCGGAUAAUAUAUUGAACCGCAUGGUUCAAUAGUGAAAGACGGUUUUGCUGUCACUUAUAGAUGGAUCCGCGCCGCAUUAGCUAGUUGGUAAGGUAACGGCUUACCAAGGCGACGAUGCGUAGCCGACCUGAGAGGGUGAUCGGCCACAAUGGAACUGAGACACGGUCCAGACUCCUACGGGAGGCAGCAGUAGGGAAUCUUCCGCAAUGGGCGAAAGCCUGACGGAGCAACGCCGCGUGAGUGAUGAAGGUCUUCGGAUCGUAAAACUCUGUUAUUAGGGAAGAACAAAUGUGUAAGUAACUAUGCACGUCUUGACGGUACCUAAUCAGAAAGCCACGGCUAACUACGUG